rnacentral:rRNA from 1 species
CCUACGGGAGGCAGCAGUGAGGAAUAUUGGUCAAUGGGCGAGAGCCUGAACCAGCCAAGUCGCGUGAGGGAGUACUGCCCUAUGGGUUGUAAACCUCUUUUGUCGGGGAGCAAAAGCCGGACGUGUCCGGCUGUUAGAGUACCCGAAGAAAAAGCAUCGGCUAACUCCGUUCCAGCCGCCGCGGUAAUACGGGGGAUGCGGGCGUUAUCCGGGUUUAUUGGGUUUAAGGGGUGCGCAGGCGGAUUUGUAAGGCAGCGGUCAAAGCGUGGGGCUAAACCCCAUCCAGCCGUUGAAACUGGGGUGCUAGAGUGUGCGAGAGGCAUGCGGAAUGCGUGGUGUAGCGGUGAAAUGCAUAGAUAUCACGCAGAACCCCGAUUGCGAAGGCAGCAUACCGGUGCACAACUGACGCUCAGGCACGAAAGCGUGGGUAUCGAACAGGAUUAGAUACCCUUGUAGUC